UACAGGGGAAACCCGGAAAUGCAAUCAGUGCGCGGAGGGGCAGGCGGGAGAGGUCCGGUGCGGAAGCCCUCCCUUCUCCCACGGGGAAAAGGCACAGUAAGUGAUAUGAAAAUACUCAUUGGGAGGGGGAAAAAAGCCAAUUUCUGUAUUUAGUUCUUUAAAAAUCACACAUCUAAGAGGGCUAACAAUACAAGUGGCGAGUUCGUUUAGCAAAUGGCGUUUUCUGAGUGGCCUCGUUGCCCAGGACAGUUCACAGGAUCGACGGCCUCGUGCGUGAGCCCAGGCUUGUUCUGUUCCCCUCUGAACCGAUUUAGGCGUGAAGCCUGGCAGGGCCACCUCGCUCCGGUGGCUCUGGAGCAGCUGGAGAAAGAAGCUGUUCCCUGGGCCCGAGAAAGCUGGGGACAGGCCGCCGCCGCGCUUCUCUCUGCCUGACACCUGCCAGCUCCAGCUGACCUGGGACAGCCUUUGCUGCUCUGAACCUAAGAAGCCUUGACCCUUCCCCAGCGCACGGACACAGCAAGCCACGAAAGCACUGGGUGGCCCAGGCUGAGAAGGGAGGGAGGCCCCUAAGGAAGCGUCGUGAGGCAGGCAACCUGCACUCCAACCCGUUGGGACCAGGGAGGCACCUGGAGAUCCCCUCUGGCGGUUGCAUGGGUGGCGCUGGAUAGGACAACUGACCCACUGACCACUUGGCCAACGAGGAUGAAGACAAGGCUGACUUCUCUCAUUGUGUCAUACAUUCUGGAAACGGAAGUCCUAAACUAUAACCAGGCCCAGAAGAUAGGGCAGAGUGGCCCACACUGGCCAGUACAGGCUGGCACGUAGACCUAACAUCCAGGAG